rnacentral:rRNA from 1 species
AAUACGUAGGUGGCAAGCGUUAUCCGGAAKGAUUGGGCGUAAAGCGCGCGUAGGCGGUUUUUUAAGUCUGAUGUGAAAGCCCACGGCUCMACCGUGGAGGGUCAUUGGAAACUGAAAAACUUGAGUGCAGAAGAGGAAAGUGGAAUUCCAUGUGUAGCGGUGAAAUGCGCAGAGAUAUGGAGGAACACCAGUGGCGAAGGCGACUUUCUGGUCUGUAACUGACGCUGAUGUGCGAAAGCGUGGGGAUCAAACAGGAUUAGAUACCCUGGUAGUCCACGCCGUAAACGAUGAGUGCUAAGUGUUAGGGGGUUUCCGCCCCUUAGUGCUGCAGCUAACGCAUUAAGCACUCCGCCUGGGGAGUACGGCCGCAAGGUUAAACUCAAAGGAAUUGACGGGGAYCCUUUGACCGCUCUAGAGAUAGAGUCUUCCUUCGGGGGACAAAGUGACAGGUGGUGCAUGGUUGUCGUCAGCUCGUGUCGUGAGAUGUUGGGUUAAGUCCCGCAACGAGCGCAACCCUUAAGCUUAGUUGCCAUCAUUCAGUUGGGCACUCUAAGUUKACUGCCGGUGACAAACCGGAGGAAGGUGGGGAUGACGUCAAAUCAUCAUGCCCCUUAUGAUUUGGGCUACACACGUGCUACAAUGGACAAUACAAAGGGCAGCGAAACCGCGAGGUCAAGCAAAUCCCAUAAAGUUGUUCUCAGKGCGGAUUGUAGUCUGCAACUCGACUACGUGAAGCUGGAAUCGCUAGUAAUCGUAGAUCCCCAUGCUACGGUGAAUACGUUCCCGGGUCUUSCACUCACCGCCC